rnacentral:lncRNA from 1 species
UAUCUGACAGUUUAAGAUUUACAAUGGAAACCAUAAAAAUGUUAACAAAUUUUCUGACAUGAACAAGUCGUCGUUGACCAAUUUACAUUUCCUGGUGUUGUGUUUGAAUAUCUGUUAAAAUAUCUCCACCACAAAGAGGUGAGGCAAACUACAUAGUGAUUUAAAAGUUUUGUGAUUUGUUGAAAAUUAAAUUGCUUUAUUUUAAUAAACAGAUGAUUUAGUCGACCAUAACUUAAUUAGGUUUACUCAACUUCAACAGUUUUUUUUUUGUUAAUUACUUUGUUUUUUGUUGUAAAAUAAACAUUUACGCUAUCUAUCUACCCCUAUUCUGUGCCUAUACAACAUGUCAACUUCUAGCUUUAAAAGUUUUGAAUAAAUAAAACACUAAACAGAAAGUAUCUAAUUCAAUAUUUGCCAAAAAUACUAAAU